UACGUAGGGCGCAAGCGUUGUCCGGAUUCACUGGGUGUAAAGGGUGCGCAGGCGGGAAAGUAAGUUAGAGGUGAAAUCUCACAGCUCAACUGUGAAACUGCCUUUGAUACUGCUUUCUUGGAGUUAGGGAGAGGUUGAUGGAAUUCCAGGUGUAGGCGGUGAAAUGCAUAGAUAUCUGGAAGAACACCGGUGGCGAAGGCGGUCAACUGGCCUAAACUGACGCUCAG
rnacentral:rRNA from 1 species